UACGUAGGGUGCAAGCGUUAAUCGGAAUUACUGGGCGUAAAGCGUGCGCAGGCGGUUAUGUAAGACAGGUGGGAAAUCCCCGGGCUUAACCUGGGAACUGCAUUUGUGACUGCAUAGCUAGAGUACGGCAGAGGGGGAUGGAAUUCCGCGUGUAGCAGUGAAAUGCGUAGAUAUGCGGAGGAACACCGAUGGCGAAGGCAAUCCCCUGGGCCUGUACUGACGCUCAUGCACGAAAGCGUGGGGAGCAAACAGG
rnacentral:rRNA from 1 species